GCAAACUUGGUCAUUUAGAGGAAGUAAAAGUCGUAACAAGGUUUCCGUAGGUGAACCUGCGGAAGGAUCAUUAAAGUGAAUUUAGGUCAAUGUAGACCUUAAAUCUGAACUUGUGGUAAGAAAUGUUGGGUUGUUUGGGUUUAAAAAUGGCAUGAUUUUGAAUGAAGCUCUAUAGGUGGUGGUUGGAAUGGAAGGUUGUAUAAGGAAAGUAUUUGCAUGAUAUGCUUCAGUGGCAUAGUUUUGUGAUAUUUUGCUUGUACAAUUAGUACGGACUAACUGUUCACAGAUUGGAUUUACAGUAUAGUAGGUCUAGUUUGUGGUCUUCUUUUAGAGAUAGUUCUUAGUUUGUGACGACCUGACGCAUGAACUCUUUUAUUAAUUUGACUGAAAUAUAAAAUUAAAUUUAAUCCAAUUUAUGGGGUUAAAAGAAAAAGUUUAAAUAACUUUCAACAACGGAUCUCUUGGUUCUCGCAUCGAUGAAGAACGCAGC
rnacentral:misc_RNA from 1 species